AAGCGUUGUCCGGAAUUAUUGGGUGUAAAGGGUGCGCAGGCGGAAGCCUAAGUCGGAGGUGAAAUCUUACCGCUUAACGGUCGCAGUGCCUUCGAUACUGGGUUUCUUGAGUCCAGAAGAGGUUGGUGGAAUUCGUGGUGUAGCGGUGAAAUGCAUAGAGAUCACGAAGAACACCAGUGGCGAAGGCGGCCAACUGGUCCGGUACUGACGCUGAGGCACGAGAGCGUGGGGAGCGAACAGGAUUAGAUACCCUGGUAGUCCACGCUGUAAACGAUGUAUGCUAGUUGUUGUCCCUUUGGGGGCAGUGACGCAGUUAACGCGCUAAGCAUACCACCUGGGGAGUACGUUCGCAAGAAUGAAACUCAAAGGAAUUGACGGGGGCCCGCACAAGCGGUGGAGCAUGUGGCUUAAUUCGAUGCAACGCGAAGAACCUUACCUGGGCUAAAUCUACGGCGACCGGCUGGGAAACCAGCCUUCCCUUCGGGGCGCCAUAGAAGGUGCUGCAUGGCU
rnacentral:rRNA from 1 species